UACGUAGGGGGCAAGCGUUGUCCGGAUUUAUUGGGCGUAAAGAGCUUGUAGGCGGUUUGUCGCGUCUGCUGUGAAAACCCGAGGCUCAACCUCGGGCCUGCAGUGGGUACGGGCAGACUAGAGUGCGGUAGGGGAGAUUGGAAUUCCUGGUGUAGCGGUGGAAUGCGCAGAUAUCAGGAGGAACACCAAUGGCGAAGGCAGAUCUCUGGGCCGUAACUGACGCUGAGGAGCGAAAGCAUGGGGAGCGAACAGG
rnacentral:rRNA from 1 species